rnacentral:lncRNA from 1 species
AAUCAGAUUCACUCCCAGUGGAAAACAUAGACUGAACCUUUAUGUAAUAGUUAUUGGAGGCCUGUGCCCUUAAAAAUAGAACUCAUGUAUCUCCCACUCUCCUCAAUUCUGAUAUAACUAAAUACUGUAAGGCUUUCAUGUAUUAUGCCAAAGUAUAUUCUCACCAGAUAUUGAGGCUGAAUGUCUAAAAUGACGGUAAGUGGGAUGAGCGCUGAUGCCCUAAGUUUUAUUCACAUUCUUACUUAGGUGAGAUCCUGACCAAAAGGAAGGGGUUGUUAAAUUAAAUUUGCAGGAGGCUACUGAUUUGGAGAAAGCUCCUUUACUGGGCCCAACAGACCAAGUGCUGUAUUUUUGAUUUGUAUUUGGUUGUAGAUGCAGAAACUGCCAAUAUGGAGGGCCGACUGUAUUUAUUUUAAAAAUCCUGCAAACAUGGACCCGCACAGGUCCAACCUGCGUUGUCCAAGGAUCAAAUGUAUACUCAUGUCACAAAUAUCUGACUUUCAGUUAGUAACAGGCAGCCGGCUGCUUCAAGUGAGAUACAAUGCUGAGCUGCAACCAAUUAAGUUGUUCUUUUUGUCUCACUUCCACCUUGUGUCCAUAAAU